AUGGGCGCAAGCCUGAUCCAGCCAUGCCGCGUGUGUGAAGAAGGCCUUCGGGUUGUAAAGCACUUUCAGUUGGGAGGAAGGGUUGUGUGUUAAUAGUACACAGCCUUGACGUUACCAACAGAAGAAGCACCGGCUAACUCUGUGCCAGCAGCCGCGGUAAU
rnacentral:rRNA from 1 species